CUCCCCAUAAUCAUUACCAAAUUUCAAGAUUUAACAUCCUACUAAACAACGUAAGCUAACAUUAUAUAUAUCGUAAAUACUUUAUUUUCUCAUAACGUUUCAUAAUAUAAUAUAGUGAGUCAAAUCAAGCGUUUUCAUAACUUAAUUUAACAUCUCAUGGUCUUAUUUAGAACACGAAAACAAAAAAAGAGACUCCUAGUUUUGUGACACACCCCGUCCCGAAGGAGGGCAUGCUGGCCGUCACGUGAGAGUGACGUAACCAUUUGCACAGUACGGAAGCUUUAAGAUACAAUUUAUAAGUUGAUACACCCGAAGGUGAGUCCUAAUUUUGUCCAAUCUGUCAGAACACCGUCAAAUUCCUCGUAGUCACCACACCUUUGUGAUUCAUGAACCUGGAGGGGCGCAAAACCAAAAUUGAGUGGGUCAGUAAAACAAUUCUUUUCCAAAUCCAAACAUUUCUCAAAACGUUGUAACCCCUCUCCGUAAAACCUGUAUACUUUCCCAGAAAUGUAAAAUAUAAAUAUACAUAUAUAUUCUCAAUACUUUAAUUCAUUAACUCAACAUUUUUUCUUUAUCAAUCAUGCCAUGUCAUGUCUAAUUCAACAGUUAAGUAUGGAUGCAUCAGCAAUAAUCAUAUCAGGUGCAAGAAAGUAAUCAACCGGAGGCCCUCUAAUAGCCCUGUACGGUUGAACCUAGAGCUCAAAAUCUAUCACUCUCACACUCUGCCGGAGUCACUCCGCGUGACCUGUCCGGCCUUCUGCACAUAAGUUACGCUCUAGUGCUUCUCAUAAAUCAUCUGUGCACAUAAUCUAAGGUCACCCACCAGUCGGAAUCUCACUAACACUCUCGCGACUGGCCUGUCGUACCCACUCCGCGUGGACUGUACGACUAGUAUCUACUUGGAUCCAAGGCGAGCGUGCGAUGCGGUGAAUACUAUAAGCACUAAACUAUGGUUCAGGAUUUGAGCUCAAUAUACAUCAACAUCAUCAUAACAGAAAUAAAUACUCACCUGUGCGUCCACCGCACCAUUUCAUACAUAUGCAUCAUAAAUCAAUUCUUACCUGUGCGUCCACCGCACCAAUUCAUACAUAUGCAUCAUAUAUUAAUUCAUGCAUGGCAUUUCAACUCACAUUUCUAUAUACUUUUCAUAUCAAUUCUAUGCAUGGUAUUUCACUUCCCGUUUUUCCACAUAACUCAUAUGCAUUUCAUUUUAAACAUAUUUUCAUUUCAAUUCAAUUUCUGGGAAACGUCAAGUAUAUAUAUAUACGGAAAACAAAACUGCCCACUCAC
rnacentral:lncRNA from 1 species